UACGUAGGCAGCAAGCGUUGUUCGGAGUUACUGGGCGUAAAGAGUGCGUAGGUGGUGCCCUAAGUCUGUUGUGAAAUCUCCCGGCUUAACUGGGAGGGUGCGGUGGAAACUGGGGUGCUUGAGUGUGGGAGAGGUAAGCGGAAUUCCUGGUGUAGCGGUGAAAUGCGUAGAUAUCAGGAGGAACACCUGCGGUGUAGACGGCUUUCUGGACCAUAACUGACGCUGAGGAGCGAAAGCGUGGGGAGCGAACAGG
rnacentral:rRNA from 1 species